CCUGUGAGCUGCUUUGAAAGUCCACACCAAAGGCAGGGAUUUCUUCCUUUCUGCUCUGACUGAACAUUCCCUGGGUCUUGCAUGCCCUAUUAGGCCGCCGGGGGGCAGUCAAAGCCCAGCUUUUGGGAUGUUGGGGCUUCGGCGGGAAAAGCACAGAUCACCCUGUGGUGUCUGCCCCUCAAGAUGAUGCUGAUGCCUCGAUGAGCUGCACUCCUUCCUGUCCAGACAGCGUGUACAUGCCCAGGAGCGAGGACUCACUUUGUUCAGAGUUCUGGGAGGAAGUACUCCUCUGUACUGAAUUCUCUCCAACGUGUUGAAGCUGACGGCUACUUUAAGACUAGUUCGUGCUCUUCUUACUUCCACAAGGGAUGGAGAAAAGGGCACAGACAAGAUGGGGUGUCUGAGUCCUGGCCUCCAAACACUGCUAUACCAUGAGAGGGGAGUUCCUUGGUCCCCAGUAUGGACCC